UGGCUCAGAACGAACGCUGGCGGCAGGCCUAACACAUGCAAGUCGAGCGGCUGUAGCAAUACGGCAGCGGCAGACGGGAGAGUAACACGUGGGAACGUGCCCUUCAGUUCGGAACAACCCAGGGAAACUUGGGCUAAUACCGGAUACGCCCUUACGGGGAAAGAUUUAUCGCUGAAGGAUCGGCCCGCGUCUGAUUAGCUAGUUGGUGGGGUAAUGGCCCACCAAGGCGAGGAUAAGUAGCUGGUCUGAGAGGAUGAUCAGCCUCACUGGGACUUUUUCUCGGCCCAGGGACCUACGGGAGGC
rnacentral:rRNA from 2 species